GAGGAGGCGCAGUGGCCUGAUGGUUAGCGCGUUGGAUUCCAGCUCGAGCAGUCUGCGUUCGAGCCCCAGCCUGGUCG